rnacentral:tRNA from 1 species
AUUUAGAUAUUUAAAUUAAUAAUAUUUGCUUGUGAGUCAAAAGUUAAACUUAGUUUUCUAGAUA